CUCAAUCAGAAAUCCACCCUCAAGAGGUGAGAUUUUGACGUCUUUCUUUUUCUCUCUCUUUCUGAAGAUGAAAAUAUCUCAAAUGAUAGAAGAUGAACCGACGACUAACUACAUCCACUUUGUUUAUAGCGUCUUCAUUUUUUUUCAUGUCUCCAAUUGAUUGACACUGGGCAAGUGGGAAUCGGACCAAAUUGACUAUCAUCAGUCAAUUAAUUCCUGAUUUGGUGAGCGUCUGAGCGGAGAAGGAAAACCCUAAAACUCCAAAUUGAGUGGUGAAUGGUAGUGGUUGGUCAAAGCCAAGAUGACAAGUGAAGUUCUCUUCUCAAAUUCAAUAGCAUGUGUCCAGUUCUUCUCUUGUUUUAAUUUAUUGUGUUUGAAAGUCUUGUACUCAUUGAAGAGAGGCUUGUUUGUGAGCCCCAGAAAAAAUUUGUCUAGUUAAGUUGAGAUCAUUGGAAAUUAAUUUACUAUCUCACGAUCUCAGUAAUGAUUAAAUUGCUUGAGAAUAUUUUUGGAAAUUUUCACAAGGUGAAAUCCUUAAUUUAAGGAUUGGAUAAUAAAGUACACGUUAUGACGAGUUCGUUAAAAUUUUCGAGGAUUUUUUCGGACAUCCAAGCUAUAUGUUAUGAUUUUCGGAAAUUUU
rnacentral:lncRNA from 1 species